rnacentral:rRNA from 1 species
UCCAGACUCCUACGGGAGGCAGCAGUGGGGGAUAUUGCACAAUGGGGGAAACCCUGAUGCAGCGACGCCGCGUGGGCGAAGAAGUAUUUCGGUAUGUAAAGCCCUCUCAGCAGGGAAGAAGAAAUGACGGUACCUGAGUAAGAAGCCCCGGCUAAAUACGUGCCAGCAGCCGCGGUAAUACGUAUGGGGCAAGCGUUAUCCGGAUUUACUGGGUGUAAAGGGAGCGUAGGCGGCAGGGCAAGCCUGAUGUGAAAGCCCGGGGCUCAACCCCGGGACUGCAUUGGGAACUGCCCCGCUCGAGUGCCGGAGGGGCAGGCGGAAUUCCUAGUGUAGCGGUGAAAUGCGUAGAUAUUAGGAGGAACACCAGUGGCGAAGGCGGCCUGCUGGACGGUGUACUGACGCUGAGGCUCGAAAGCGUGGGGAGCAAACAGGAUUAGAUACCCCCGUA